rnacentral:rRNA from 1 species
UACGUAGGGGGCAAGCGUUAUUCGGAAUUAUUGGGCGUAAAGGGCGCGUAGGCGGCUUGGCAAGUGGAUGGUGAAAUCCCUCGGCUUAACCGAGGAACUGCCGUCCAAACUGCUUCGCUUGAGACCGGGAGAGGUGAGUGGAAUUCCCAGUGUAGCGGUGAAAUGCGUAGAUAUUGGGAGGAACACCAGUGGCGAAGGCGGCUCACUGGACCGGUACUGACGCUGAUGCGCGAAAGCGUGGGGAGCAAACGGG